rnacentral:rRNA from 1 species
CCCACCUCAAGAUGAGAUUUCCCAUUUCUUUAAGAAAGUAAGAUCCCUGAGAGAUGAUCAGGUAGAUAGGUCAGGAGUGGAAGUACAGUGAUGUAUGGAGCGGACUGAUACUAAUCGAUCGAGGACUUAACCAA